AAUAGAUACCCAGGUAGUCCCAGCCGUAAACGAUGCUCGCUAGGUGUCAGGCAUGGCGCGACCGUGUCUGGUGCCGCAGGGAAGCCGUGAAGCGAGCCACCUGGGAAGUACGGCCGCAAGGCUGAAACUUAAAGGAAUUGGCGGGGGAGCACAACAACGGGUGGAGCCUGCGGUUUAAUUGGACUCAACGCCGGACAACUCACCGGGGACGACAGCAAUAUGUAGGCCAGGCUAAAGACCUUGCCUGAAUCGCUGAGAGGAGGUGCAUGGCCGUCGCCAGUUCGUACUGUGAAGCAUCCUGUUAAGUCAGGCAACGAGCGAGACCCGUGCCCACUGUUACCAGCAUGUCCUCCGGGACGAUGGGUACUCUGUGGGGACCGCCGAUGUUAAAUCGGAGGAAGGUGCGGGCUACGGUAGGUCAGUAUGCCCCGAAUUUCCCGGGCUACACGCGGGCUACAAUGAAUGGGACAAUGGGUCCCUACCCCGAGAGGGGUUGGUAAUCUCCCAAACCCAUCCGUAGUUCGGAUCGAGGGCUGUAACUCGCCCU
rnacentral:rRNA from 1 species